GAAAUUCGAUAAGUAAUGUGAAUUGCAGAAUUCAGUGAAUCAUCGAAUCUUUGAACGCACAUUGCGCCCGCCAGUAUUCUGGCGGGCAUGCCUGUCCGAGCGUCAUUUCAACCAUCAAGCCCCGGGCUUGUGUUGGGGACCUGCGGCUGCCCGCAGGCCCUGAAAACCAGUGGCGGGCUCGCUGUCACACCGAGCGUAGUAGCAAUCACCUCGCUCAGGGCGUGCUGCGGGUUCCGGCCGUUAAACAGCCUUACAAAACCCAAGGUUGACCUCGGAUCAGGUAGGAAGACCCGCUGAACUUAAGC
rnacentral:misc_RNA from 1 species